UACGAAGGAUGCAAGCGUUAUCCGGAUUUAUUGGGCUUAAAGGGUGCGUAGGCGGACUUAUAAGUCAGUGGUGAAAUCUCGUUGCUUAACAACGAACGUGCCAUUGAUACUGUAGGUCUUGAGUACAGAUGCCGUUGGCGGAAUGUGUCAUGUAGCGGUGAAAUGCAUAGAUAUGACACAGAACACCGAUCGCGAAGGCAGCUGACGGAACUGUAACUGACGCUGAGGCACGAAAGCGUGGGGAUCAAACAGG
rnacentral:rRNA from 1 species